rnacentral:rRNA from 1 species
AACGUAGGGGGCGAGCGUUGUCCGGAAUUACUGGGCGUAAAGAGCUCGUAGGCGGUAGUUCAAGUCAGGUGUGAAAUCCGACGGCUUAACCGGAGGGCUGCACCUGAUACUGGGCUGCUAGAGGUAAGGAGAGGAAGGUGGAAUUCCAUGUGUAGCGGUGAAAUCCGUAGAUAUCAGCAGGAACGCCGGUGGAGAAGUCGGUCUCCUGGGCCGUUCCUGACGCUGAGGCCCGAAAGCUAGGGGAGCAAACCGG